UACGUAGGGGGCGAGCGUUGUUCGGAUUCAUUGGGCGUAAAGGGUGCGUAGGUGGCGCUGUAAGUCAGGUGUGAAAUUUCGGAGCUUAACUCCGAAACUGCAUUUGAUACUGCGGUGCUUGAGGACUGGAGAGGAGACUGGAAUUUACGGUGUAGCAGUGAAAUGCGUAGAGAUCGUAAGGAAGACCAGUGGCGAAGGCGGGUCUCUGGACAGUUCCUGACACUGAGGCACGAAGGCCAGGGGAGCAAACGGG
rnacentral:rRNA from 1 species